rnacentral:piRNA from 1 species
CUGGAGUGAGCAUUGGCAGCCUCAUG